GAUGAAUGCUGGCGGCGUGCCUAACACAUGCAAGUCGAGCGGCAGCGAGGGGUGCUUGCACCCUGUCGGCGAGCGGCGAACGGCUGAGUAACGCGUAGGAAUUUUCCCUAAAGUGAGGAAUAACUUCCCGAAAGGGUAGCUAAUGCCGCAUAUGGUCUUCGGAUUAAAGGAUUUAUCCGCUUUGGGAGGAGAUUGCGUUGGUUUUGGUUGUUGGUAGGGUAAUGGCCUACCAAGCUGACGAUCCAUAGCUGGUCUGAGAGGAUGAUCAGCCAGACUGGAACUGAGACACGGUCCAGACUCCUACGGGAGGCAGCAAUGAGGAAUCGUCCACAAUGGGCGAAAGCCUGAUGGUGCAACGCCGCGUGAAGGAUGAAAGCCUUCGGGUUGUAAUCUGCUUUUAUGAGUGAAGAAUAUGACGGUAACUCGUGAAUAAGCACCGGCUAACUACGUG
rnacentral:rRNA from 1 species